AUCCAGCCAGUUAUUCACCCAGCAGAGUGCACCUCCACAAAGCCACGAGCGGCCAGCACCUCCAGGAGAACGCUGUGUGAAACAUUGUCAAAGGCUUUAGUAAAGUCCAGAAGGAGUCAGUGCUGUGAGGAGCUGCCCACGAGAGAUCACCAAGAAGGUAUGGAAGAUUUGUAAGAAGAUGACAACAAGGAGCUAUCUCCUAGCAUCAGGGGUCUGCAGAAGAGCUCCCCAGGCCUCCAGGGACAGAUCUGUCACAGAGGCCUCAUCAAGCCUUUUGAGGAAGAAAUCGCCUUGGUCUGCUGCAGGAAAAUCAAGUAAAUAAGCAUAAUGCAGUGAUGUUUCUUCUACCACUCAUGUACAGACUGACAAUAAGGAGGAAAGAAAUGGCUAGCAGAUACAGACUGCUGUGAAACUGGAAAUCUACAUUCAAGAAUUCUUAUUUAAACUUUUUUCACUUUUUCUGGCUUGUCAGGAGUAAAAAAUAGUGAUGAAGGCUAAAAAAACCAAUUCAGCUGUAGACUGCUCAAGGAAGUGUGGCAGGGUAGACAGCCCUGUUAGAUAUAUAUUA